CCCACUGAGUGGUGUUGAGGCGGGUCGGGUUGAAUAAAGAAGGGUCAGCUCCGCCAGUACCCCACUCAGAGUCUGUGAAGGUAUUGGGACCAAAGUGAAAGAAGAGGGCCAUGGAAGAGAGUUGCCAUUGGAGCUGAGGGGCAGAGGGGAGCGGUAAAAUUGGAAGUGGGGGUGGCUUGAGGAGGGCAGAGUAGCAAAUGGGUAAUAGAAAGAGUGAGAGAAAGAAGAGAAUUGGAUUUAAAUGGAUGUGAAAUGAGAUGGGUAUCGUGUUAAAGUUUCUCUUAUGGAUCUUCUUCUCCUCCUCCAUGGUGGAGCAGACAUGGGAGAAGGAGACGGAGGG
rnacentral:misc_RNA from 1 species